UCUCCGUUGGUGAACCAGCGGAGGGAUCAUUACAGGACUCGCAAGACUCCCGUAAACCACUGUGAACCUUACCUUCAACGUUGCCUCGGCGGGUGCUCCGGUUCGUCCGGGGCGCUGCGCCCGCCGUUGGCCCCCAACUCUGUCUCGCGUGUUGGCAUCUCCGAGUGAAAAUACAACGAGUCAAAACUUUUAACAACGGAUCUCUUGGUUCUGGCAUCGAUGAAGAACGCAGC
rnacentral:misc_RNA from 1 species